rnacentral:miRNA from 1 species
UUCAGGAGAGAUGACACCGACA